rnacentral:rRNA from 1 species
AAUCAACGCUGGCGGCGUGCCUCAGACAUGCAAGUCGAACGAUUAAGACUUCCUUCGGGAAGUGCAUAAAGUGGCGCACGGGUGAGUAACACGUAAGUAAUCUACCCUCGAGUGGGGAAUAACGUUCGGAAACGAACGCUAAUACCGCAUAACGCAGCGGCAUCGCAAGAUGACAGUUGUUAAAGGAGUAAUUCGCUUGAGGAGGAGCUUGCGGCAGAUUAGCUAGUUGGUAAGGUAACGGCUUACCAAGGCUACGAUCUGUAUCCGGUCUAAGAGGACGGUCGGACACACUGACACUGAAUAACGGGUCAGACUACUACGGGAGGCAGCAGUCGGGAAUUUUGGGCAAUGGGCGAAAGCCUGACCCAGCAACGCCGCGUGAAGGAUGAAGUAUUUCGGUAUGUAAACUUCGAAAGAAUGGGAAGAAUAAAUGACGGUACCAUUUAUAAGCUCCGGCUAACUACGUGCCAGCCGCCGCAGUAAGAC